rnacentral:lncRNA from 1 species
ACACUAUCGGGAAUGUUAAUGCGCAUGCACACAACACUCACAUCAGCAGCAGAACUUAAAAAGCUGCCCACAUUCCGCUACAAUGCUGACUGGGCAGAGGGUGAGGCGCGUCUACUUGGUUUACUAGUCAUUUUCCAGGCAAGCUGAGAGUGCAUAGCUGGCGUCUCUGGGAGACGCGUUUGUUAAAUAAGCGAAAUCACUGCAGUUCAUGCAGCCACCGGUGCACGUGAAUGCGAGCAGA